CUUGCACUGGAGUCCGAAAAUAAAAAAGAGGACAAUUAGGAAACUGGACCUUGAAAUAAAAAAACUUGAGAGGGAGCUCCAAGAAGAUGACACAGCUCAAAAUAAAAAUUAGCAAUCAGUACAACCAAGUCAUCGUUAUAAGGC